rnacentral:rRNA from 1 species
ACGUGUGGUCCUAGCGUUGUCCGGAAUAACUGGGCGUAAAGGGUGUGUAGGCGGAUAUCCGUGUCAGGAGUGAAAUCACCCGGCUUAACUGGGGCAUUGCGCUUGCAACUGGAUAUCUGGAGCGUGUCAGGGGUAAGCGGAAUUCCCGUAGUAGGGGUGAAAUGCGUAGAUAUCGGGAAGAACACCGGUGGCGAAGGCGGCUUACUGGGACAUGGCUGACGCUGAGGCACGAAAGCUUAGGGAGCGAAGGG